GAUGAACGCUGGCGGCGUGCCUAAUACAUGCAAGUCGAGCGAACAGAUGAGAAGCUUGCUUCUCUGAUGUUAGCGGCGGACGGGUGAGUAACACGUGGGUAACCUACCUAUAAGACUGGGAUAACUCCGGGAAACCGGGGCUAUACCGGAUAAUAUUUUGAACCGCAUGGUUCAAUAGUGAAAGACGGUUUCGGCUGUCACUUAUAGAUGGACCCGCGCCGUAUUAGCUAGUUGGUAAGGUAACGGCUUACCAAGGCGACGAUACGUAGCCGACCUGAGAGGGUGAUCGGCCACACUGGAACUGAGACACGGUCCAGACUCCUACGGGAGGCAGCAGUAGGGAAUCUUCCGCAAUGGGCGAAAGCCUGACGGAGCAACGCCGCGUGAGUGAUGAAGGUCUUCGGAUCGUAAAACUCUGUUGUUAGGGAAGAACAAAUUUGUUAGUAACUGAACAAGUCUUGACGGUACCUAACCAGAAAGCACCGGCUAACUACGUGCCAGCCGCCGCCGUAA
rnacentral:rRNA from 1 species